GCCCGUGUAGCUCAGAUGGCAGAGCAACCGCCUUGUAAGCGGUAGGUCGUGGGUUCGACUCCCACCGCGGGCUCCA
rnacentral:tRNA from 1 species